UAAUUACUGGGGGGUGGUUAAUUAGCAGGUGCAAUUAACGCCCCCUGACCCCCCCCCCAGGUGCCGCCGGGCGCUGCCCCCCUGGUGCUGGGAGCCCGUCCCCAACCCCGGGCGCAGCCGCGCCGCCCAGCUGGGGGGCACCGGGGGGGGCACCGGGGGGGGGCCUGAUCCUGGCCCCGGCCCCGAGGAGCCGCUGCUGGCGCUGACGGUGCUGGGGACGGCCACGGACACGGGGACGGACACGGGGACGGACACCGGGACGGACACCGGGACGGACACCGGGACGGACACCGGGACGGACGCGGGCGCCGGGACGGGCGCGGGCCCCCCCCAGGGGUGUCCGGGAGCCCCCCCGGCGGGGUCGGGCUACGAGCGCCAUUUUCUGCCCACCCCCGAGGAGGUGCUGGGCUGGGGGCGGCCCCCGGGGAGCCCCCCGGGGACACGGGGAGAGGACGCGGGGCCACACGGAGUGGGCACGGAGCCUCACGGAACCGACACGGGGACACGGGGAGGUGUCACGGGGCCACACGGAGUGGGCACGGAGCCUCACGGAACCGACACGGGGACACACGGAGCUGACACGGGGACACACGGAGGUGACACGGGGCCACACGGGGCUGUCAUGGGGUCACACGGCGGUGACAUGGAGUCUCGUGGAACUGACACGGAGCCACACGGAGCUGACACGGGGACACGUGGAGCUGACACGGGGCCUCACGGAACCAACAUGGAGCCACACGGAUCUGCCCCUGGGCCUCAUGGAGUGGACACGGGGCCACACGGAACUGAGACCGGGACACACGGAGCCACCACGGGGCCUCACGGGGCUGACACGGGGACACAUGGAGCUGGUGUGGGGGCACAUGGAAUGGACACGGGACCACACGGAGGUGACACGGGGCCACACGGAACCAAAACAGGGCCUCAUGGAGGUGACAUAGGGACACGUGGAGCUGACGUGAGGACACAUGGAGGUGACACAGGGACACACGGAACCAACACGGGGCCUCAUGGAUCUGUCAUGGGAACACAUGGAACCAACAUGGGGCCUCAUGGAGGUGACAUGGGGACACGUGGAGCUGAUCUGGGGACACAUGGAACUGACACAGGGACACACGGAACCACCAUGGGGCCUCAUGGAGGUGACACGGGGACACAUGGAGCUGGUGUGGGGCCACCCGGAGGUGACACAGGGCCCCAUGGAACUGACACGGGGCCACACGGAGCCUCCACAGGACCUCAUGGGGCUGGCAUGGGAGCACAAGGAGCUCAUGUGGGGACACAUGGAGGUGACACGGGGACGUGUGGAGCUGAUGUGAGGACACAUGGAAGUGACACGGGGACACACGGAACCACGAAGGGGCCUCGUGGAGCUGUCACCGGGACACACGGAGCUGGCGUGGGGACACAUGGAGGUGACACGGGGCCACACGGAGGUGACCUGGAGGUGCACAGAGUGGCCACGGGGCCUCAUGGAACCACCACGGGGCCUCACGGGACUGCCAUGGGGACACACGGAACCAACAUGGGGCCUCAUGGAGGUGACACGGGGACACGUGGAGCUGAUGUGAGAACACAUGGAAGUGACACAGGGACACACGAAACCAGCACGGGGCCUCGUGGAGCUGUCACGGGGACACACGGAGCUGGUGUGGGGACACAUGGAGGUGACACAGGGACACAUGGAGCUGACAUGAGGACACACGGAGGUGACACAGGGACACAUGGAACUGACACGGGGCCACACGGAAGCACCACGGGGCCUCAUGGAGCUGUCACGGGGACACACGGAGCUGGUGUGGGAACAGAUGGAGGUGACAUGGGGACACACAGAACUGAGACGGGGCCUCAUGGAGGUGACAUGGGGACAUGUGGAGCUGGUGUGGGGACACCCAGAGGUGACACCAGGACACACGGAACCAACAUGGGGCCUCAUGGAGGUGACACGGGGACACAUGGAGCUGAUGUGAGGACACACGGAGGUGACACAGGGACACACGGAACUGAGACGGGGCCUCAUGGAGGUGACACGGGGACACACGGAGCUGGUGUGGGGACACCCGGAGGUGACACGGGGCCACCCGGAGCCCCCCCGGGGCUGUGACG
ensembl:lncRNA